UGACUUUAUUUUUGCUACUUCUAUCUUCUCAUGUGAGAUUUGGAAAACCCGCCCCCUGCUUAUAGUCCCACCCCAUCUCUUGCAGUUUGCAGAUGGAUGAUAUUGGACACUCCUGUCACUUAAUUAGGUUUCCUGCACACCUAAUAAAAUGUAGAGGGAGGAUUUAAUUGUCUUGGGACUGGGCGGGUGCAUAGGGCCCCGCAGCCACUAGGGGGCCCCCAAGUUGAAUGUAAACAACUUUUCUUUUUAAUACGUCUGCCGACAGUUAUGACUGACAGCCUCACGUCACGUGAUGAUAGCGGCAUAGCGGUGGUUAUAGCACCAAAAGUUUUCUUACCCCUCUGGGUCAGAAAAGACGAGGGAAAAGAAAGCUGAGGAGGAAAAAACUUCCAGAGGAUAAAGGUGCAAUUCUCAAAUACUUUGUGGCUCCAGAAUGACAGCAGGUUCCAGUUUCAAAUCCUGACCAGCAGAAGUUUUGAGGAAGAAAAUAAAAACAUAAUACUGCGAUCGUUCACAGAUCACAAAGAAGUGGGAUCCUGUUAUACAAUUACAUAUGGUCACUUUCAUUGUUGUUUUGUUUUUAUUCUUCGCAUUUUAAAAUAGAUGGUAGUUUAAUUUUAUUUAUAUUUAUAUGGCGUUAAGUUUCAUGUUUAUUACUUAUUUGUUCUAAAAUUUUAAAUUAAACAUUUUGGAAGAUAA